rnacentral:misc_RNA from 1 species
UACGAACCGUACGAACGUUAUUCGGAAUCACUGGGCUUAAAGAGUGCGUAGGCGGCUAUGCAAGUUGGGUGUGAAAUCCCUCGGCUCAACCGAGGAAUUGCGCCCAAAACUGCAUAGCUUGAGGGAGACAGGGGUGAGCGGAACUGAUGGUGGAGCGGUGAAAUGCGUUGAUAUCAUCAGGAACACCGGUGGCGAAAGCGGCUCACUGGGUCUCUUCUGACGCUGAGGCACGAAAGCUAGGGGAGCGAACGGG